AGAAGGUGGGGGGGGGGAGAACUAGAAGCACAGCUGCUGCUGCUUCAAGGCGAGUAGAUUGUAAGUGCUUUAUCCGCCACGACUUUGGCAUUUUCUGGAUGGGUGAGGAGCUCCGAGUGCAUCUGAAAAAUCAGUACUGUGCAUGUGUUAAAGCAGGCUAAAAACAGAGUGGGGGGGGAGUUGCAAAGGGUUCCUUCCAGCCCCAUCUGUUGUCUUCCAAUGCAGGGUUGCCCACCAGAGGCACUUUCCCCUCUAUUCAGGCUGGCCCAGCCUUGGUCAUGCUGUCUUGUGACUUGACCUGCUUCGUAGGGCUGUUGGGAAGGCGAAAUGGUGGAAGCCCAACCCUCGGACAUGCAGCUCAGUGGGGACCCUGGACUCCGUUAUUUUUCUGCCGAACUUUCAGGGAAUCACCAGAAAGGUGAUUCGAAACACCUCACCUCACGUCGAAACACCUCACCUUCCGUAUCAAUGAGACAAUCCUACACUGCUUGGUUUGCAUUUUUGAGCAGUUUCUAUUUUUGAAUGGUUCUUUUUAUAAUGUGCCCUCUUCCUUUGAGGUCAAUCAGGUCAGUUUAUGAAGUCAAAGAAAGAGACACAAAUGCAAAAGAAGUCAUAUUGGGGGUGGGGGCCAUCCACGGAACACUUUGCACCGGAAGUAAUCCAGGUACAGCGGUAGCAAUUCAAUCAGGAGAGCAGAACAAAAGCAAGCUCAAGCUAACCCAUGCACAGAUUAGCAGCAUAGAGUUUUUAGUUCUGCUCAGCAACAAGAGCCUCUCCUGCUUUAUGAUUUCUUGCAAGAUCUUCUCAGGGAAUCUUGAAACAAAGGUAUUCCAGAAGCCCCUCUUUACGUUUUGCACUUUGGAUCAGGCCAUCAACUGAACCUGGGAGCCACCAGAAUAGUAGCCAUUGAUCGACCAUUGGGUCUCCUGCAGUUCUGUGCUUUGAACUUGACCUAGGAGGUCCUUCUCCCAAGUCCUUUGCGUUAGCUACAGGCAAAACAAUGCAGAUCUCAUGGUCCCAUGAAAUCCAGAGUACAAAGAGUGGUAGCUACCAGCUUGGCCUUGAGGUCUUAAUCAAUCAAUUCUAGAAGCCCCUCUUACGUUUAGUACUUUCGAUCAGGCUGUCAUCUGAUCCUGGGAGUCACCAGACUGACCCGUCAUCUAGUAGCCGUCGAUCGACCCGUCUUCCAUGAAUUUGACCAAGCCCCUUUGAAAGCCAUCUGAGCAACUGGCCGUUAGCACAACCCAUGGAAGAGAACUCCAAAGGAUAUGCUUGACCAAGUACUUCCUUUUGUCGGUCCUACAUUUCCUGGCCUUCCUUUUCAUGGGAUGACCUCUGGACUCUAGUGUUGGGAGAGAGGGAGAAAAGCUUCUCUAUCCACUCUCUCUACUCCAUGCAGCAUUUUCGACAAUCUGUACGCAGCGUAGUAUAUAUUGAGCACACAUAUUUUGCAUGCAUUUCCGUCCUCCCUUGGUCAUGCUGUCUUGUGACUUGACCUGCUUCGUAGGGCUGUUGGGAAGGCGAAAUGGUGGAAGCCCAACCCUCGGACAUGCAGCUCAGUGGGGACCCUGGACUCCCUUAUUUUUCUGCCAAACUUUCUGCAUAGGAAUGGCUGGAGAAUGCACAAGGCACACACAUGAAUUCCUCAAGCCAGCCACAAUCCUGGGGAUUCUGCUGCCUCCCACAGCCCUUGGGAGAACAAAACAGCCCACCAGGCAAGAUGCCCGGAGAUGCUGUGAAUUAAGCUCUGUCCGGGCAUUUAAUAUUUGGAGAUGCUGUAGUGUCUCAGAGCUCACCCCUGCUCAGGAGACCUCUCACACCCAAGCAUUUAGAACAGGGCUGCUCAACUUUGGCCAUCCCGCAGAUGUUGGCCUACAACUCCCAGAAUCCCUUGCUACGGGCCACUGUGCCUGGAGAUUGUGGGAACUGUAGUUCAAAAAGAGCUGUGGGGCUAAGGUUGAUCAGGGCUGGUCUAGACCUUCCCAAGUUAGGGGCCUCCAGAUGUUGCUGAACUAAAACUCCCAUCAGCACCUGCUCCCAUUAAUAAGGGAAUGCACUCUAUUCUGUGCUAGUCACACUUCCCUUGGAAUACCCUGUGCAUAUUUAUGCAACGGGUCAUGUGGUAUUGUCAUUUUAUAGAUCUGAUGUUUCCUCUAGGUAUACAGGUUCAGACAUUUUCCUUAUAUGUGUAUUUUAAGUUAUAUAGAUUUUCCUUGGGCACGGGGGGACCAAAACAGGAGGAAAUCUAUCUGCUCUUCAGAAGAUGCUCUGGCUUUGUUUGGGUGACAUUGCUUACUAUCCACUUUUUGAGCUGUUUUCCCCCUGAAUAUUUCAUUUCAUAGCAUAUAUCACACACACACACAUACACCCGCAACCGUUUUUGUGUUUUUAUUUUGGUCAAGUUCCACUGAGGGCUGCUUGCCAAUUGAAAAACCAUACUGCCAAAACACACACACACACCCCACCGAACACUUCUGGUUGUCUUUUGGGGAGAUGCUUGGGAAACACUUAAACUGCUGACACUCAACUAGUUCAUAUCAGAUGAUAUCAAACUGAUCACAAAGCAAUUGCCUGACCCCUCUGCCAGUGGGCAUCACAAUCCCGUCCUUGUUGGCCUCCCCCCUUUUGACCAUAUAUGGUUCCUUUCAAAGCCCCUCUCAAUAUGGCCUGCCUCUUUCUGCUGUCACAAGGAGAGCAACCACAGCCCCCUCCCACUUCUGCCCGCAUCAUAAGACUCCACUGUCCUCUGAGCCCCAAUAAAAGCAGCCCACCUUUGCUGAGCAGCUAAGUCUCCCUGGGGGGGGAGAGGGGAAACGGUUAAUGUUUCCCCUUUGCCCCCGUGGGAUGUGGGAGGGCGGCCGAAGUCCUGGGCUUUUUCCGCAAUCUCACUCCCUGUAGGGGAUCCAGGUUUCUGGUAGAGGACGCCGAGCUGUCUCCCUUAGACCCCUGCAGGCUCCUUCGGGAGCUCCUACUGGCCACCGUCUGACGUGCCCCUCUCGGGCUAAGGGCUGAAGCGGGGUCUCCCCCUCCCUGUAAGAAUAAGCUCCCCAAGCAGCUCGAAGACCCAGCUCCCAAAGGUGUGGUCCUUCUGGUUGAGCCAGAGUAGCUCAAGCUGUGUCUGGGUGGGCUCAUCCCUUGGUGGUCCUGCCCCAACACAGAUUGACCAAGGCCCACUGUUUAACCUGGCCCUGCAGGCCUGGCUGGUUGCCGCUUUUUGGAGCCGAGAAGGAAUUUUCCCCUGGGAGGUCUCUGGAUCCCCAGGUUUUUUGCCUUCUCUGCACGGCCUUCCUCUUGAGCUCUGCAAGUGCCUUGGCUUGCCGCUGAAGACGAGUCAAGCAGUGGGUCUUUCCCCCUCCCACCCCUCCCCAAAUAAAAUAUAAAUAGAUUUGAA